rnacentral:lncRNA from 1 species
UUGUCAAUUAAUUUAGUAAAACUUCAUAAUACUCCCUAAAUUGGUUGACUAACCACUAUAAAAUCGCUAUUCUCUAGUAAAACGGAGACAACAAAGGUUCCAAACCUCUUUGACCUUCAUCAUAUGUUAGUGAAGGAUGCAACUAUGCAUUAAAAUAGAAUUUUCAUUUUUUUAAUUUUUUUAUCAAAAUCUAUGGGUGUUAACCCCUACGAAAAUAUUGAAUUUUUCGGUAAAUGCUCU